rnacentral:rRNA from 1 species
UACGUAGGUGGCAAGCGUUGUCCGGAAUUAUUGGGCGUAAAGCGCGCGCAGGCGGUCCUUUAAGUCUGAUGUGAAAGCCCACGGCUCAACCGUGGAGGGUCAUUGGAAACUGGGGGACUUGAGUGCAGGAGAGAAGAGUGGAAUUCCACGUGUAGCGGUGAAAUGCGUAGAGAUCGGGAGGAACACCAGCGGCGAAGGCGGCGGCCUGGACAGGAACUGACACUCAACUACGAAAGCGUGGGGAGCAAACAGG